rnacentral:rRNA from 1 species
UUCGAUUCUGGCUCAGGAUGAACGCUAGCGGCAGGCUUAACACAUGCAAGCGAGGGGCAGCGCGAGGUAGCAAUACUUGGCGGCGACCGGCGAAAGGGUGCGUAACGCGUGAGCAACUUGCCCGUAUCUGGGACAUAAGCGGUGGAAACGCCGUCUAAUUUCCCAUAACAACAGAGGCCGCAUGACCUUUGUUUGAAAGAUCCGUCGGAUACGGAUGGGCUCGCGAGACAUUAGCUAGUCGGCGUGGUAACGGCACACCGAGGCGACGAUGUCUAGGGGUUCUGAGAGGAAGGUCCCCCACACUGGAACUGAGACACGGUCCAGACUCCUACGGGAGGCAGCAGUGAGGAAUAUUGGUCAAUGGGCGCAAGCCUGAACCAGCCAUGCCGCGUGUAAAAGGAAUAAGGCCCUAUGGGUCGUAAACUUCUUUUGUGGUGGAGCAAUAAGGUGUACGUGUACACCGAUGAGAGUACAUCACGAAUAAGCAUCGGCUAACUCCGUGCCAGCCGCCGC